rnacentral:lncRNA from 1 species
AAAAAGCAGGCAUGGCCUCGUGGGACUGAUUUCUAGCUCAAAAGGCUUCCAGGCUCACUUAGCUGUGCUUUAGUCACAGAAGCCUCUCUUUCUCCUCACAUUCGUGAGGGUUAAAGUCAGGCUGUGGCACCUAGGGUGUCAGUAGUUUGUAUAGUUGCUCAUUUCACUUUUAAAGGCCAGUUUCAGCCCUCCUGGCCCCUAGGAGCGCCCUGGGGCUGCAGCCGCCUGUCAGAGGGCAGCGGCGGGGGGGGGAAGCCGCGGCUGCGUCCCCCUCACACCCGGCGCUGGCAGCGCGGGCAGCGGGACCUCGAGGCUCUCACGGGCUCGGUUAGCCUCUGUCACCGCCCCAGCAGCAGUUCUCUCGAGUUAAGGACCAGAGGAAGUUGGUUAACAACCGGCUUUUGGGAACAAGAGAGCUCCAUUCUCCCUGGACCUUCAGAGUGCAGCCCUGUCCUAGAGAGGUGUCAGGAACUUAGCCACCAGCUUCUGAAGGAAUUUGGAGGCAGUACCAAGACCAGCAUCCUGGUGCUCCUGUUUAUGUUCAUGCAGAAUGGAAGGUUACCAGCACUGAGCAGAAAUGCCUGUCAUUUUGUGUUCGUAUGAAAGCUAGUCCCAGAAUCCAAACUGAGCUUUCAGGGUAGUGGUUCUUGGCAACAUAUUUAACACGGGCUCUCCAGGGGCAUCCAGAUUUCUCCAGCUGUGAAGAGCAGCCCCACAGCACUGGGGACUGUGCAAGGCCAAGGCUGCUUCUGCCUUCCCUUGUGUCAGAGACUUGCCAAGAGAGCAAGCGGGCAGAGAGGAGGUACUCCGGUAUUAUGAGUAUGGACAGAAGCUGAGCAAAACAUUUCUCCACAUCUGACCAGCGUGCGAUUCUUCUGGAGCUGGUGACUUCUGCACCCCUAAAUCACAGGACAGUUGCUGCUUCUUGCCUGCCUGCAGAGAGGCUGUCUAGGGCAGUUAAGACUGUGUGAAUAACUAGCUAUGCCAGCAGUAUAUAUGUGUGUGUAUAUAUAUGCAUUUUAAAUAUAUCUAUAUCUAUAUAUAUUUAAUUAAAGCUGGCUUAGCUCCUGGGAGCUACCAAAAUGCAAACUGGAC